UCCCGAUGCUAUUUCUAGAGAUAGAAAGUUACUUCGGUUACAUCGGUGACAGGUGGUGCAUGGUUGUCGUCAGCUCGUGUCGUGAGAUGUUGGGUUAAGUCCCGCAACGAGCGCAACCCCUAUUGUUAGUUGCCAUCAUUCAGUUGGGCACUCUAGCGAGACUGCCGGUAAUAAACCGGAGGAAGUGGGGAUGACGUCAAAUCAUCAUGCCCCUUAUGACCUGGGCUACACACGUGCUACAAUGGUUGGUACAACGAGUUGCGAGUCGGUGACGGCGAGCUAAUCUCUUAAAGCCAAUCUCAGUUCGGAUUGUAGGCUGCAACUCGCCUACAUGAAGUCGGAAUCGCUAGUAAUCGCGGAUCAGCACGCCGCGGUGAAUACGUUCCCGGGCCUU
rnacentral:rRNA from 1 species